rnacentral:rRNA from 1 species
UUCCGGUUGAUCCUGCCGGACCCUACUGCUAUUUGGGUGAGAAUAAGACAUGCGAGUUGAAUGGCACACCUAAUUUUCCCAUGGCAAACUGCUCUCAAACACAUGAUCAACUUCCCCUAUGGAGAAAAUAACCUCCCGAAACUGAGGAUAAUAUUUCAUAAUUGAAAAGGCUUGGAAAAAUUUUUUCUUGAUCGGGAUAAUAAAAAUGGUUCUUAUCUGCUAUACCUGAGGAUCGGGCCCCAUUAUAUCUGGUGGUGAGGGAAGUAAUGGCUCACCCGAUCUAUAACCGGGGCCGGGAUGAGGCGCCCCCCGGAGAUGGGUACUGAACGACCCAGGCCUUACCCGGCGGCGAGGCGCGAGACCUCCUCCGCAAUGAAAAGUGACGGGGUUACCUACCCCGAUCGUUUAUGAAUUGUGAUGGGUGAUCCUUGUCCCCUACUACCGAGGGAAGGGCGAGGCUGGUGCACUGCUGCCCGCCGCCGCCAUCUCUUCAAGUGUCCGAGAUAAUUAUAGGACUUUGGUGUUCGUAGCCGGUUUACUAGGUUACUGGUCUAUCGGGUAGCUUAACUAUCCGCAUGCUAAGCCUACUGAUAUACUACAAGGCUAGAAAGGUCUGAAGUACUACAGGACUUCGGGUGAAAUCGUAAAAUCCUUGUAUCACCGCAGGAGGCGCAGGGGUCAAACCUGAACGCUACUGAGCGUGAGGCGACGAAAGCAAGGGGACCGGACCAGAUAACAUACUUAGAUGCUAGGAUCUUUUCACAAAUAUCUAAUGCGCGCUAAAAAUCGGGGUUAGUCCUGGCCGUUACGAUGCCAUACUAAGAGAUGUCACGGCCAUGACCG